rnacentral:rRNA from 1 species
CGCUGGCGGCGUGCCUAACACAUGCAAGUCGAACGGGGAUUUGUUUCGGCAGAAUCCUAGUGGCGAACGGGUGAGUAACGCGUAGGCAACCUGCCCUCCGGCCGGGGGACAACACUCUGAAAGGGGGUGCUAAUACCGGAUACGAAGUCUGUGCCGCAUGGUACGGAUUUGAAAGAUGGCCUCUAUUUAUAAGCUAUCGCCGGGGGAUGGGCCUGCGUCCGAUUAGCUGGUUGGUGGGGUAACGGCCUACCAAGGCGACGAUCGGUAGCCGGUCUGAGAGGAUGAACGGCCACAUUGGGACUGAGACACGGCCCAGACUCCUACGGGAGGCAGCAGUGGGGAAUCUUCCGCAAUGGGCGCAAGCCUGACGGAGCAACGCCGCCGUGAGUGAGGAAGUUCUUCGGAACGUAAAGCUCUGUUGUUCCUGACGAACCUCCCCUUUAUCAACAACGGAGGGGACUGACGGUAGGGAACGAGGAAGCCACGGCUAACUACGUGCCAGCCGCCGC